GUCAUAUGCUUGUCUCAAAGAUUAAGCCAUGCAUGUCUCAGUACAAACUAAAUUAAAGUGAAACCGCGAAAGGCUCAUUAAAUCAGUUAUGGUUCCUUAGAUCGUACCACACAUUUACUUGGAUAACUGUGGUAAUUCUAGAGCUAAUACAUGCAAACAGAGUUCCAACCAGAGAUGGAAGGAAUGCUUUUAUUAGAACAAAACCAAUCGAUAUCAAUUUUUUGAUAUUAUUAUAUUUUUUAAAUAUUUUAUAUUGAUAAUUGUUUAUCGUAAUUAUAUGUGAUGAAUCUGAAUAACUUUUUGCUGAUCGCAUGGUCUUGAACCGGCGACGCAUCUUUCAAAUGUCUGCCUUAUCAACUGUCGAUGGUAGGUUCUGCGCCUACCAUGGUUGUAACGGGUAACGGGGAAUCAGGGUUCGAUUCCGGAGAGGGAGCCUGAGAAACGGCUACCACAUCCAAGGAAGGCAGCAGGCGCGCAAAUUACCCACUCCCAGCACGGGGAGGUAGUGACGAAAAAUAACGAUACGGGACUCAUCCGAGGCCCCGUAAUCGGAAUGAGUACACUUUAAAUCCGUUAACAAGGAUCUAUUGGAGGGCAAGUCUGGUGCCAGCAGCCGCGGUAAUUCCAGCUCCAAUAGCGUAUAUUAAAGUUGUUGCGUUUAAAAAGCUCGUAGUUGAAUUUGUGUUACACGCUGUCGGUUCACCGCCCGCGGUGUUUAACUGGCAUGUUCGUGUGACGUCAUGAUGGUGGAUGGAGUGAUCGUUUUUGUUACCUACCGUAUUACAUGUUCUAUUUGCUAUGUAUUUGUUUUAUGUUUCCUUUUCGGAGGUUACAUUAACAUUUCAUACUAUAGUUUUAUGUGUAUGGUGUAUAGUGUGCUAAGUGGUCGCCAUCCGACUUGAAAAAUCCUGUCGUGGUGCUCUUAAUUGAGUGUCAAGAUGGGCCAUCACGUUUACUUUGAACAAAUUAAAGUGCUUAAAGCAGGCUAAAAUUUUGCCUGAAUAUUAAUUGCAUGGAAUAAUGGAACAGGACCUUGAUUCUAUUUUGUUGGUUUUCGGAAUAUUCAAGGUAAUGAUUAAUAGGGACAGAUGGGGGCAUUCGUAUUGCGACGUUAGAGGUGAAAUUCUUGGAUCGUCGCAAGACGGACAGAAGCGAAAGCAUUUGCCAAAAAUGUUUUCAUUAAUCAAGAACGAAAGUCAGAGGUUCGAAGGCGAUCAGAUACCGCCCUAGUUCUGACCAUAAACGAUGCCAGCUAGCGAUCCGUCGACGUUCCUCCGAUGACUCGACGGGCAGCUUCCGGGAAACCAAAGCUUUUGGGUUCCGGGGGAAGUAUGGUUGCAAAGCUGAAACUUAAAGGAAUUGACGGAAGGGCACCACCAGGAGUGGAGCCUGCGGCUUAAUUUGACUCAACACGGGAAACCUCACCAGGCCCGGACACUGGAAGGAUUGACAGAUUGAGAGCUCUUUCUUGAUUCAGUGGGUGGUGGUGCAUGGCCGUUCUUAGUUGGUGGAGCGAUUUGUCUGGUUAAUUCCGAUAACGAACGAGACUCUAGCCUGUUAACUAGGCGUUUUUACCAAUAUCUUGAAGGCUCGCAUCUUAUAUUGUUUCACAUUCAUGUAUUGUUAUUUCUUUGGGUUUUUUGUUUGUUGUUAUUUUUUUUAGGAAAAAUGGCACGGCAUUAAAUUUCAAAGGGUACUUGCAUGUUUUGUGGCAUAUGAGUUUGCAGUUUUUACUAUUGGCGUACAUAUAUAUCUUCUUAGAGGGACAGGCGGCUUCUAGCCGCACGAGAUUGAGCAAUAACAGGUCUGUGAUGCCCUUAGAUGUUCUGGGCCGCACGCGCGCUACACUGAAGGAAUCAGCGUGUGUUUUCCUUGGCCGAGAGGUCCGGGUAACCCGUUGAAACUCCUUCGUGCUAGGGAUUGGGGCUUGCAAUUAUUCCCCAUGAACGAGGAAUUCCCAGUAAGCGCGAGUCAUAAGCUUGCGUUGAUUACGUCCCUGCCCUUUGUACACACCGCCCGUCGCUACUACCGAUUGAAUGAUUUAGUGAGGUCUUCAGACUGGUACGCGGUGAAAUUUUUAUUUUGCCGAUGUAGCUGGGAAGAUGACCAAACUUGAUCAUUUAGAGGAAGUAA
rnacentral:rRNA from 1 species